GGCGGGGCCUGGCGCCGGUGCCGCCGCGCCCCGGCUGGGCUGUGGCGGCCGCCCAGGCCGUCUGUGCGCGUCCGUCCGGUGCCCGGCGGUGGCUGCCCGCCGCUCGGCUGCAUGUUGUGCUAAUACAGAGAACCAAUUUGCAUAACUUCUGUCAGUCUUGAAGCACUGCCUGAGCGCUUUGUGGUACAGAAGCGGCAGGAAACACAUCACAGGAGAAGAUGUGAUCUCGGCAGAGUUCUGUUGUCAGUCCAAUCACCCCUGAAACCUGAGGUAAACUAUCAGAGGAAGGAAGGAGGAUGCUUUCUAGCAGGUUAUCUCAUUAAGCUGCUUCGGAUCUGCAAAAAAAUAUGAAAAGCGAUUGAUUUCCUGCAGUAAUUCU